rnacentral:rRNA from 1 species
GAGUUUGAUCAUGGCUCAGGAUGAACGCUGGCGGCGUGCCUAACACAUGCAAGUCGAACGUGAAGCCCAAUGCUUGCAUUGGGUGGAAAGUGGCGAACGGGUGAGUAACACGUUGGUGACCUUCCCUGAGGAGGGGAAUAACCCUGGGAAACCAGGGCUAAUGCCCCAGAUGUCGAGGAGUUUAGACGCCCUUGACUAAAGCUUCGGCGCCUUAGGAUGGGCCUGCGGGCUAUCAGCUUGUUGGUGGGGUAAUGGCCUACCAAGGCUAAGACGGCUAGGGGGCGUGAGAGCGCGACCCCCCACAAUGGGACUGAGACACGGCCCAUACUCCUACGGGAGGCAGCAGUGAGGAAUAUUGCGCAAUGGGGGCAACCCUGACGCAGCAACGCCGCGUGGACGACGAAGGCCUUCGGGUUGUAAAGUCCUUUUCUGGGGGACGAUAGUGACGGUACCUCAGGAAUAAGUCCCGGCUAACUACGUGCCAGCAGCCGCGGUAAAACGUAGGGGGCGAGCGUUAUCCGGAUUUACUGGGCGUAAAGCGCGCGUAGGUGGCAUUGUAAGUUGGAUGUGAAAGCUCUCGGCUCAACUGAGAGAGGUCGUUCAAUACUGCAGUGCUUGAGGUUGACAGAGGAGAGUGGAAUUCCCGGUGUAGUGGUGGGAAUGCGUAGAUAUCGGGAGGAACCACCAGUGGCGAAAGCGGCUCUCUGGGUCACCACCUGACACUGAGGUGCGAAGCGUGGGGGAGCGAAACGGAUUAGAUACCCCGGUAGUCCACCGCCCGUUAAACGAUGGAUAACUAGGUUGUUAG